UUGAUGGAAAACAACAAUGGCGGAGUUUGCGUUCUCCAGUCGCAUGAUAGAACUCCAUUACAUGAGGGUGUGAACAUGUGACCAGAGGUUUGCCUUGCAACAAGGUUUCUGGCUGGCUCGGGCCUUUCUGUGUGGAGGUUGCAUGUUGUGCCUGGAUGAGCUUCCUCCAGCUUCUUCCCACUGUCAAGGAUUCGAGUCAGGUGACUUGCCAUUGGCCUCUCCUGUGAGGCUCCUGACACCUGUGAGCAUGGACCCUGCUAUUAUGGUGCUCAGUUGGUGUCUCCAGAACUUGCUCCAAACUGGAUUGGUCCGGAGGAUGGUGAUCCACAAAACCAGGUUACAACAUUAUUUGGAACCCUAGUACAAUCUCCAAAUUGAAGGCCAACCAAGUCUGUUUCCUGACCCUGUUAGCACUCCGGAGUCAUAGGCAGUCCUCUGUAGAUAUGCAGUCAAGGUCUGUAGGAUCAUAUGGCUGAUGGCUCUCUACCCAGGCAAUCCAGAACAGAGUCUAUACAGUCUCUGGUCUCAUAGGGCCCACAGGUAGCCUGCUGUGGCUGCCCUUCACCAUCAGGCCCAUUUGUGCUGGUGUCGGCAACAUGUGCACCAGAAUUUGAACAUGUGGAGGAAAGCUAUGUUUAGUGAUGACAGAGUAAAGGGUUCAACACGCUUCUCCAUUGGCAGUGCAUUACCAGACCGUAGGGAGCUACAUACAGCCCAUGUGUGUCCACCCUGUAUUAAAGACAAUGAAAAGUGUCCACUGCAGCUGCCGUCUGUGCUUUUCAUGCUGUAUUUAUGAUCUUGGUUCAGUUUUCAUGCUUCUCCUGGUCUCAGUUAACUCUCCGGUCCCUCCCUUUCCUGAUUCAGUUUAUCAGUGGUUUAUCAACCAAUCAGCAUUCAGCCUAUGCAC